rnacentral:lncRNA from 1 species
UAGUAAUUUGAAUUAGUUUUAAUAUGUAUUAUAAUAGUAUUAAUUCUCAUCAUGUAUCUGGCUAAAUAGCUAAGCGCUAAAGCCGCAAAAUAAAAAAAAAUUGAAAAAAACAUUCUUAGUGGCCUAGCACCUUUACUUUGCCUGGGGGCGAGGCGAGUUAAUAAAUUCUAUUUUCUUAUUGCAGUCAUUUUGUGACGGCUUAAGAAGUUACAUAAAUGAUGUCUUUAGGCUGUGAAAUUUUAACCGUAGAAAGACAUCUUUAUGACUUGUAUUUACAUGAUAUAGGGCUUUUCACUCAGUCAUUUGUUUCGAGCUUCUGUCAUGUGUUGUCUAAUAUUAAUAUAUCUAUGUCAUAUGUUAUUGAUAUUGCCAAUGAUACAAACCAAAGACGUAUGAUGUAGAUAUAUUAAUAUUAUGUGACACUUGACUGAAGCUCGAAACAAAUGACAAUCGAUGAAAAGCCCUAUUCAAUAGGGCAUUUCAUUCAGUCAUUUGUUUCGAGCUUCUGUCAUGUGUCACAUAAUAUUAAUAUAUCUACGUCGUACGUUAUUGGUAUAUACCAAUGAUACAAACCAAAGACGUAUGACGUAGAUACAUUAAUAUUAUGUGACUCAUGACAGAAGCUCGAAACAAAUGACAAUCGAUGAAAAGCCCUAUUGGCGUCUGCAUAUCAGGAUCCGGUAAUACUAUAUUAUUUAUCUAUGAUCAGGAUAUUGCUAGGUGUACACAAGUAAACAACACUUUUUUGAUUAAAAGGUUUAUUUCAUUAAAUCAAAACUUACAUGGAUACAAUUUAAAUAAGAUAUUUUUUCUAUUGAAGGCAAUAUAAUAUAAGAUAUAUAUUUUAGUAUAACUCUCCUACAUUAACAAGCUUUAACACAUUCAGUGGCCAUGACGUAUGGGUAGCAUCACGAAGGUUUUACGGAAGGUACUGACGACACAUAAGUUAUGUGAGUAGUACUGUGUAACUAAAUAAAUGAUUUAAGUAUGUGGUACCAGCCAAGUGGAGCUUGUUCGAGAUGGGCACCAAACAUGUUAAUCUGGUCAUGCACAGAGACUUAUACUAUAAUAUGUUAUAUCUCAUAUUGCUCACUAUUGUAAUGAGUGAGCCUGCAUACACGAACUAUAAUAUAUUAUUAUGGUUCUGUGUAUGCAGGCUCACUCAUUACUACUGUAGUGAACAAUAUGAGAUGUAAUAUUAUGAGAUAUACCUAUUAUAUAUUAUGGUAUAGCUCUCCAUGAGUGCCAAGUUUUAAACUUAACUGAUAACAACUAAUGGAUACCCUUUUAUCCAAAAUUUUAUGAAAAUUUUGAAUGGUCAUAUUGGUAUUAAUUCCACAACCCCUUCCUAUAACAAUAGGCCCAUUGUUGGAUGUUAUUGCAGUAGUUCUACUGGAAAUACUUACUAAAAUUGUAUGUAUCUGCAUCACUUAGAAGUCUACCCAAAAAGCUAUUAAUACUCUCUAAACCAUCAUUAAUACAUCUUGUAUACAUAAUAGGAUUUUUUUCAGAAUCAGAUAUUUUAUUAAGAUUUACUUACCAUGCCCUAUUUAUGUGCCAGGCACUUAACAGUCUAUUAGGAGCAAUACCCAUUACAUUUGACGAGGCAUUGUAAAAGGUGUCGCUUAUGCCUGAUAUGAAAACAUUUGACUAUACAUAUAAUACCAACACAGGCAUGUAUUUAAAAAAAUUGGUAAAUUAAAGUAGGUAUCUUUUCUAUUUGAAAAUAAGAAAGCAGUACAAAAUCCAUUCCCAAAUUCAUCUUUUACUAAUACUGUCAUAAGUUCAAAGUCAUAGGAAUUGAGCCCAUGAGUUCCAUCGAUUGCGAUAAAGGAUUUACCAAACUUUUGGCACAGUAUUAAGGAACAUAAGACAAAAAUCAUAAAUGUUAAAUUCAUAAUGAAUAUCCAUUAGUAUGCCCUGUUGUUUGUAAAAUAAUAUUGGACAUGAGUCUGUAAG